CAGUCGCCACGGGAAUACAGAGGGUGCAAGCGUUAAUCGGAAUUACUGGGCGUAAAGCGCGCGUAGGUGGUUUGUUAAGUUGGAUGUGAAAGCCCCGGGCUCAACCUGGGAACUGCAUCCAAAACUGGCAAGCUAGAGUACGGUAGAGGGUGGUGGAAUUUCCUGUGUAGCGGUGAAAUGCGUAGAUAUAGGAAGGAACACCAGUGGCGAAGGCGACCACCUGGACUGAUACUGACACUGAGGUGCGAAAGCGUGGGGAGCAAACAGGAUUAGAUACCCCUGUAGUCCCUGUCUCUUAUAC
rnacentral:rRNA from 1 species